AUUGAACGCUGGCGGCAGGCCUAACACAUGCAAGUCGAGCGGAUGAAGGGAGCUUGCUCCUGGAUUCAGCGGCGGACGGGUGCGUAAUGCCUAGGAAUCUGCCUGGUAGUGUGGGAUAACGUCCGGAAACGGGCGCUAAUACCGCAUACGUCCUGAGGUAGAAAGUGGGGGCUCUUCGGACCUCACGCUAUCAGAUGAGCCUAGUUCGGAUUAGCUAGUUGUUGGGUUAAAGGCCUACCACGGCGACGCUCCGUAACUGGUCUGAGAGGAUGAUCAGUCACACUGGGACUGCGACGCGGUCCAGACUCCUACGGGAGGCAGCAGUGGUGAAUAUUGGACAAUGGGCGAAAGCCUGAUCCAGCCAUGCCGCGUGUGUGAAGAAGGUCUUCUGAUUCUAAAGCACUUUAAGUUGGGAGGAAGGGCAGUAAGUUAAUACCUUGCUGUUUUGACGUUACCAACAGAAUAAGCACCGGCUAACUUCGUG
rnacentral:rRNA from 1 species